CGAGUCGGCCGGGCGGCCGCGGCGGGGGGUUCCCCCGACGAGGAAAGUCCGGACUCCGCAGGGCAGGGUGGUUGUUAACGGCAACCCGGGGUGACCCGCGGGACAGUGCCACAGAGAGCAGACCGCCUGGUGGCGACACCAGGUAAGGGUGAAACGGUGGUGUAAGAGACCACCAGCGCCCCGGGUGACCGGGGCGGCUAGGUAAACCCCACCCGGAGCAAGGCCAAGAGGGGGUCCUCGCGGACCCCUGCGCAGGCGUUCGAGGGCUGCCCGCCCGAGCCUGCGGGUAGGCCGCUGGAGCCUGCCGGCGACGGCAGGCCUAGAUGGAUGGCCGCCACCGGGGCCCCGCGCCCCGGGACAGGAUCCGGCUUACACGCCGGCUCGCCCG
rnacentral:RNase_P_RNA from 1 species